ACGUUACCCGCAGAAGAAGCACCGGCUAACUCCGUGCCAGCAGCCGCGGUAAUACGGAGGGUGCAAGCGUUAAUCGGAAUUACUGGGCGUAAAGCGCACGCAGGCGGUCUGUCAAGUCGGAUGUGAAAUCCCCGGGCUCAACCUGGGAACUGCAUUCGAAACUGGCAGGCUUGAGUCUUGUAGAGGGGGGUAGAAUUCCAGGUGUAGCGGUGAAAUGCGUAGAGAUCUGGAGGAAUACCGGUGGCGAAGGCGGCCCCCUGGACAAAGACUGACGCUCAGGUGCGAAAGCGUGG
rnacentral:rRNA from 1 species